rnacentral:rRNA from 1 species
UACGUAGGGGGCAAGCGUUAUCCGGAUUUACUGGGUGUAAAGGGAGCGUAGACGGCAAUGCAAGUCAGAUGUGAAAGCCCGGGGCUCAACCGCGGGACUGCAUUUGAAACUGUGAUGCUGGAGUGCAGGAGAGGUAAGUGGAAUUCCUAGUGUAGCGGUGAAAUGCGUAGAUAUUAGGAGGAACACCAGUGGCGAAGGCGGCUUACUGGACUGUAACUGACGUUGAGGCUCGAAAGCGUGGGGAGCAA